rnacentral:rRNA from 1 species
UACGUAGGCAGCAAGCGUUGUUCGGAAUUACUGGGCGUAAAGAGUGUGUAGGCGGUGCUCCAAGUCUGGUGUGAAAUCUCCCGGGCUUAACUGGGGAGGGUGCAUUAGAAACUGGAAUGCUAGAGGAUGGGAGAGGUAAGCGGAAUUCCUGGUGUAGCGGUGAAAUGCGUAGAUAUCAGGAGGAACACCUGUGGUGUAGACAGCUUACUGGACCAUUUCUGACGCUGAGACACGAAAGCGUGGGUAGCAAACAGG